rnacentral:lncRNA from 1 species
UCCCAAUAAUAUCAUUCGAUUACAGUUUCAAAUUACUACAUCCACAAAAUAUAUACCAAACUAUCUAUAUAUACAUCUCAAAUUUACUUUUCAAUAUAAAUUAGUACUAUAUUCACCAAGAAAAUGUUCUUCGGGACACCAUCCGUCUCACUUGAAUACGUUACAAUUGGAGCAAAAACAGAAACAGAAGCAGGAACACAACCCAAUAAGAACACAACCCAAUCUAUACAAGAACAAUGUUUCCAUACAAGUUCUUCCUUAUGUAUCUCCAGAGUCCAGAACAAUAUUCAUAAUCAGUAUUACCUGCAGGUAGGCCUCGUUGAGCAUGAGAUGUGGAGACCACUGAUGCUACACAGAAAGAGUAAGGUAUUAACAUGAUAGUUAGUUAUCUUUCUCGGUGGUAAAAAGGAAAUGUGCAUUCACACAUGAUCACAAAGUAAAAUAUAACAUUUUUACCAGCUGCCAAAUGCAAUGAACAACAAGAAUACAACUAGAGUAUUAGCCAAGCCAUAAUAAGCAUUCUCAAACAAUCUAUUGUCAGUUGUCUCUAGACUUCAGGCAAUAAUUUUUCAUAUCUAAACUCAAAAUCAACUUGUUUAAAAAUGUUAUGUUAAAAGCAUAACCCUGGUAGUCGUGUUUACUAACGGGAUUACAAAUUUAAAAUUCAAGAGGUUAGUAGAGACAUCAUGAUCCAUACACGUACAACACCACAAAUAUAGACAAAUUACAAAGCAGAUCUAUAUGGAUAUGAUCUAUAUGGCAAGUUAGCGUAAGCACUACCAACACAUAAACUAAAAAUAUAGACCACCACUUAAUAAGAACUUUACUUAAAAGAACUACUGUUCCAGCUAUGAAUGCCUGCUAGAAAUAUAUAAAUGAAUAUGACAAACAAUUACUAAUGAUGAGAAGUAUGAUGGAAAACCCUUCAAGUUAUAUGCUCAAAUAUAAAGAUACUAUAAUCAUGCUAAUCUGGGGUUUGCUGGAUCAUGCCAACGAGUCCUCACAUUUUGCUAAACAAGCAUAUUAACCAGAUUGCUUUUAUAAGGCUUGGAAUUAUUUGCAAACUAUCAGUAUAGUACUAUUUCAAUGCUUGGAACCAUUGCACUCCCAUCAAAACCACCAAGAACAUAUCUGCAUUAGGAAUUCUGCAUCUUAUAAUAGACAGAUGAAAAGAAAUAACCUUUAAAAAUAGAUGUGCAGACUUACAAUUUUUCAUUCAUAACAGUUACAGAAUGACAACCCCUCUUCGUAUUCAUACCUUCAAUUCUGGUCCACGAAUGUUCCUUGGGGUCAAAUCUUUCAGCAGACCUGAGAUAGCAGACAAUUUUUAUAGACCAUUCAGAAACAUUUUUUAUUAGAGAGACAUCAUGGUCCAGUAAGUGAAAACUAAAGGAACUGCAUUUCCAAAUGAAGAUCACAUUUUAGACCUCAAAUGUAUCACUGGCCUAUAUUGCAAGGCUUUCUUUGAUUCUAUACUAAUCUUGAACACAAGAAUGACUCACAUUAGUCCCAUCCUUGUGCACAAAACUUGGACCGUUAUCCACUAUUACAAAAGGUUGAAACCAAAAAAAAAAGAGGAAGCAUGGUCUAAUGCUAAACUUUAAAAGAACUAUGAAGAGAAAUGAGAGAUACAAUAUUUUUGCUAUAGUUCAAAAGUGACCUAUAGCACUACUAAAAAAUUAAUGCAUCAUGUGCUUGAGUCAGUGGGUGCAACCAGCAGGAAUACAUUUUAACUGGAGGAACAAGAUAAAGUUGUUAAUUAUCUUACUUCAAGUAAUCCUUUCCGUCAAAUCCACCAACGGCAUAGAUAGCCCCAUUAAGCUCUACUGCAGCAAGAGCAAAUCAAUGGAAGAAUAAAAGAAAGCAUAACAUACUGAAUGCUAAAAUUUUGUAUAAGCAUAAAAUUUGAUUCAAUAGAGCACAUCUAAAGGUUUGACACUACAUAAAUUGAGAUGAGCCAUGAAACUAAAGAGAUACAUAUAAAUCAAAAUUACGGAACAUAUUGUAUGCAAUUACCAAGAUAUCUAACUGAAGCCUGCAUACAACACAAGUCAAUUUCCUGCAGUCUAAAAAGCCAAGAUUUAUUUACACAAGUAUCAAUGUCUAUAUGCCUGCAGCCUGAAGGCCCAAAUAUGUGCAUAUAUACAUAGUUCAUCCAACUACACAAUGUCAGAAAUAACUUACCUCCAAUUUCUCCACAAAUCAAACUAAAAGACUCCAACAAAGUAGAUAAGUAAUUUUUUUAAGUUGGAGAAAUAUCAUUAUCAGAUAUUGUAAUUCCCAUUACAAUAUGUCAAAGCUCAGUUUUUUCCCUUGGAAUUAUCAAACACAAUGCACAUCAUAGUGAUUGGUGUUUAACCCUCAUAAGCUAAGACUUGGGAACAUCUUUCAGUGAAAACUAAAUUAGACUUAUUAUCUGAAGAGUGAUACAGAAUAGUUAAAUGUCACAAUUCAAGCUUGCCUUAACAGCAUGCCGAGUAGUUGUAUAGCAUUGUAUAUACUUGUCUGCUACUAUCCUAGUAUCACAAUAUCAUUACUCCAUAGAGUGAAUUAAUAUGACAAAGAACAAAACAAUGUCCUCUUGAAACCACAAUUAUGAUUAUUAGAAUAGAUCACUGAACUUAUAUGUUCUCAUUUCCAUGAACAAAAAAUUAUACUUUGUGAUUGUUACCAACGAUAUCAUUUAUCUUUAUAAUAUCAUUUAUUUAAUUACAACUACACAGUAGUAAAAAUUCCUCAGAACUCAUUCAACUCUAUAAAAUGCAUAAUUGUUCAGUAAAAAUUGUGCCCUUUCUUCUUCUUCUUCUCCUUUCUUCAACUAUAAGCUUAUUUAAUUGAAAUCUGAGUACUUUACAUCAUCAACGAAUUGACCAAUUUUAUAAAUAUGUCAAUAAACUUGCCAGGGUUUUUAUUGUGUAAAAGAAUAUUAUUAGUAGAAUAGGGUUUUGAUUGUGUAAAAGAAUAAAUUAUACCUGGAUAGGAGUAAUACCAGAGAAUGGAGAGGCAGAGCAAGACAAUCAGAGGAAUGAUAUUAAUCCACUUCUGUGACCAUUACUUGGAGCUCGAAUUUUCUCUCUUCAGCUCGAUGUCGCCGCUUUCGGAUGUCAAAAGAUCACCGGCGACGUUGAUUUUCUUCCUUGAAAAAGACGACGAGGGUUUCCCCAGUUGCAUCGGGUAGUGUUGUGACAUAUCAAUUGCGUGCUGGUCCUUGGAAAUCAGAUGCAAGCUUAGAGAGGUUCUGGUUCAAUCGUCGAGCUUCUCUAGGUGCUAAGGUUGACUCUGUGCUUCAUUGAACCGACUGUCGAUCGGUAUUAAAGGUGUGCCCUUCGCUUGUCUUUGCCAUGGAUCUAGAAAUUUGAGAGUUACAAGAAAUCUACGCAAACCCUAGCUUUUGUUUUCUAGAUGGAACGAAAAGAGGCUAAACAGAGAGAUGACAGACGAAGACACUCGGUGAGAAAUGCGAAAGAGAGCGGAUUUAAUUUAAGUUUUCAU